rnacentral:rRNA from 1 species
CGCACUGCUCAGUAACACGUGGACAACCUGCCCUGAGGACUGGAAUAAUCCCGGGAAACUGGGGGUAAUUCCAGAUAUGUCAGAACUCCUGGAAUGGGUUCUGGCAGAAAGGCUCCGGCGCCUCAGGAUGGGUCUGCGGCCUAUCAGGGUAGUAGUGGGUGUAACGUACCUACUAGCCUACGACGGGUACGGGUUGUGAGAGCAAGAGCCCGGAGAUGGAUUCUGAGACAUGAAUCCAGGCCCUACGGGGUGCAGCAGGCGCGAAAACUUUACAAUGCGGGCAACCGCGAUAAGGGGACCUCGAGUGCUGGGUUACAAACCUGGCUGUUGGGCUGCCUAAAAAGCAGUCUAUAGCAAGGGCCGGGCAAGACCGGUGCCAGCCGCCGCGGUAACACCGGCGGCUCAAGUGGUAACCGCUAUUAUUGGGUCUAAAGGGUCUGUAGCCGGCCGACUAAGUCUCUUGGGAAAUCUGGCAUCUCAAGUGUCAGGCUGCCAGGGGAUACUGGUCGGCUUGGGACCGGGAGAGGUGAGAGGUACCUCGGGGGUAGGGGUGAAAUCUUGUAAUCCUCGAGGGACCACCAGUGGCGAAGGCGUCUCACC